AGUUUAAAGAAAGUAUUUUAAAUAAAUCCUGCCCAGUGUAUUAAUUUAUAAAUGGCCGCAGUACCCUGACUGUGCAAAGGUAGCAUAAUCAAUUGGCUUUUAAUUAAAGUCUGGAAUGAAAGGAAAUUUGGAAAAAAACUGUCUUGGAAAUAUUUAUUUUAAUUUAAUAAUUAGGUGAAAAUACCUAUUUUUAGAAAAAAGACGAGAAGACCCUAAGAAUUUUUAUAAUAUUAAAAUAUUUUUAAUUUAUUUUUGUUGGGGCGACAAUUAAGCAUUUAUAUUUAAACCUUAAUUAAAAUAUACAAAACGAAAUUGUUAUAAAAGAUUAAAUUACCUUAGGGAUAACAGCAUUAUUUUAAAAAGUUUGUGACCUCGAUGUUGGACUAGGAACUUUAUGGCUAGCAGCUUAAAAAGAUUUGUUCUGUUCGAACAAUAUUAUCCU
rnacentral:rRNA from 1 species